GAAGUGCGAAUGCUGACAUGAGUAACGAUAAGGGGAGUGAAAAACUCCCCCGCCGAAAGACCAAGGUUUCCUGUCCCAUGUUAAUCAGGGCAGGGUAAGUCGGCCCCUAAGGCGAGGCGGAAACGCGUAGUCGAUGGGAAACAGAUUAAUAUUUCUGUACUUCUAUAUAUUGCGAAGGAGGGACGGAGUAGGCUAGGUGAGCACGGCGUUGGUAGUCCGUGUGAAAGUAUGUAGGCGGUUGACUUAGGUAAAUCCGGGUCUUCAUUAACGCUGAGAUACGAGACGAGUGUCCAAGGACAUGAAGUCAUUGAUGCCAUGCUUCCAGGAAAAGCUUCUAAGCUUCAGAUAUAUAGGAACCGUACCCCAAACCGACACAGGUGGUUAGGUAGAGAAUACUAAGGCGCUUGAGAGAACUCGGGUGAAGGAACUAGGCAAAAUAGUACCGUAACUUCGGGAGAAGGUACGCUCUCUAAUGUGAAUGACUUGCUCAGUAAGCAUCGGAGAGUCGAAGUAACCAGGUGGCUGGAACUGUUUAUUAAAAACACAGCACUGUGCAAAAUCGAAAGAUGACGUAUACGGUGUGACGCCUGCCCGGUGCCGGAAGGUUAAUUGAUUGGGUUAGCUCUGCGAAGCUCAUGAUCGAAGCCCCGGUAAACGGCGGCCGUAACUAUAACGGUCCUAAGGUAGCGAAAUUCCUUGUCGGGUAAGUUCCGACCUGCACGAAUGGCGUAACGAUGGCCACACUGUCUCCACCCGAGACUCAGUGAAAUUGAAAUUGCGGUUAAGAUGCCGUAUACCCGCGGCUAGACGGAAAGACCCCGUGAACCUUUACUAUAGCUUGACAGUGAACAUUGCUCCUACAUGUGUAGGAUAGGUGGGAGGCUUUGAAACUUUGUCGCCAGAUGAAGUGGAGCCAACCUUGAAAUACCACCCUUGUAUGCGUGAUGUUCUAACCUAGGGCCCUAAUCGGGCUUGGGGACACUGUCUGGUGGGUAGUUUGACUGGGGCGGUCUCCUCCUAAAGAGUAACGGAGGAGCACGAAGGUUGGCUAAGUACGGUCGGACAUCGUACGGU
rnacentral:rRNA from 1 species